rnacentral:rRNA from 1 species
CAAUAGCGUAUAUUAAAGUUGUUGCAGUUAAAAAGUUCGUAGUUGGAUUUCUGGUGGGAGCGAUCGGUCUGGCGCUUAGCGCGAGUACUUGCAUCGUCUCCGGCCAUCCUUGGGGAGAGUCUGUCUGGCAUUAGGUUGUCGGGCAGAGGAUCCUCAUCGUUUACUGUGAAAAAAUUAGAGUGUUCAAAGCAGGCUUAUGCCGUUGAAUAUAUUAGCAUGGAAUAAUAAGAUAGGACUUUGGUACUAUUUUGUUGGUUUGCGCACCAAAGUAAUGAUUAAUAGGGACAGUUGGGGGUAUUCGUAUUCCGUUGUCAGAGGUGGAAUUCUUGGAUUUACGGAAGACGAACUACUGCGAAAGCAUUUACCAAGGAUGUUUUCAUUAA